AUUUUGCUUCCCCUAGUUCUGGAAUUUGCCAUUUCACUUCUCUGAGGAUCUUCAUUUCGUAGAGUGAAGAAUGGUAUUUAGAAGUCAAGAUCUGGAAACUAGACUAGGAAACUGAAAAUUAGAGCAAGAAAAGCAGUAAACCAAGAAAAGAAGCCUGCACAAUACCAGCAUCUGAAAGGACAAGUGAAGGAAGAAAAACCAAUUAGAGGAUACAUCAGAACAAUGCAUUCUCCACUCUCCCCCUCUGAAGAUUCAGAAUUAAGAGAAAUUUGGAGAUGAAGAUCACCUGAGUGUCCUCAUUUUACUAAUGAUGAAACUAGGCCUACCAAGGUAACAUGACAAAGGUUACACAGCUGGUCAGCAACAUUUUCAGGACAAAACACCCAGUUUACCAGACUCCUAGGUCUGUCCUUCCACAUCACAAAUAAUGUUACUAUUAAUAUUAUUAAAAAGGGGCAUCAUCACCAAAUCCUCAAGAAUACUAUUUGCAAAUGCAACAUAAAAACUAUAUUAGCUGGAGUAAUUCUGCUUUUGUGAUAAAGAAUUGCUGCUACUUUUCCCUCUGCAUUUCCAGUUGUUCUUAUAACACUGGCAUUAAUUCAAGGAAUCCAUAAAAGGAGAAAGGUUGGUCUUUUCAUUUUGGAUUUUUUUCACCAAUAAGACAAACUUAGCUCAGGAUAAAAUUCAAAUAUCCUGGCCGGGCGCGGUGGCUCACGCCUGUAAUCCCAGCACUUUGGGAGGCCGAGGCAGGCGGAUCAAGAGGUCAGGAGAUCGAGACCAUCCUGGCUAACACGGUGAAACCCCGUCUCUACUAAAAAUACAAAAAAUUAGCCAGGCAAGGUGGCGGGCUACUACUAGUCCCAGCUACUAAGGAGGUUGAGGCAGGAGAAUGAUGUGAACCCGGGGGUCGGAGCCUGCAGUGAGCCAAGAUAGCACCACUGCACUCCAGCCUGGGCGACAGCGAGACUCCAUCUCAAAAAAAAAAAAAAAAAAAAAAAUCAAAUAUCCUUACUUAAAUUGGAUAUAGCUUAUGGCUGAGUUUUAAAACUGUAAUAACAAAAGAAAUUGUUCAUCUUAGUGUGUUUAUUACAAAUUAUACCAGAUAAUGUUUUUCUUUAUUUUAAAGCAGAUGAGUCAGUUAUAUUACUUUAUAUUGUCUGGCUUCAUUGAAAACACACUUAAAACUCUUCACUUUUUAAUUCAUAUUAUUUAAAUAUUUUAAUCCAGACUAACCUAUAAACUGUUUAUGCUAAACUCUGGAAGAACAUUUCACUGACCAUGGCUCUUAAAGAAAAAAUAAAACAUGGCAGUAGUCAUCAAUGUCUAUAAACAAGAAGCAAUGUGAAAAGUCUAAAAUUGACAAACAGCUUAAAAUGUAAUCUGAUUUUCUCUUAAAUGCCUACAAGAGACAAAGGAUUGACUAUGUGAUAAAUAACUCUAAAUAAAUUCCUCUGUC
rnacentral:lncRNA from 1 species